CCCCGGUUGAGCCCCUUCCCACGUGCUCCUGGCGGGGAGGAAGAGGGCGCCUUGGCAGGAGCUCGCGGCAAGUUUGACGAUGUGGACAAGGACUGGCCCCUAAGGAAAAGUCCAGCUUCCGGCAAGAGCCGGUGUCAUUGCUCUGGCACUGCUGAAAAGCAGCCAGAUCACUUGGAUGCUCAUGUCACCACGACCCUUUCUGAUUUCUCUUCUCUACAGAUCACUGUCCUCAUGUACAGAGCCUCACGCCUGAUGAACCUGUCCCACAUUGCAGCGUUAAAAACCUGUGUCAGAUGAAACUCAACACCCAGCGUAUUAAAUGCGUUCCAUGGUUGCCCAGAGUUUCUGUGUGAAUCAGAACAGAUGACGAAAGUCAAACAGACAUUACAGGGAGAAAAAAAUCUUACACAGGCAUUAUCAUUUUUUCCCCCCAGGACAGAAGUGUUCGACCAUUUAGCAUUUCGACACUGGAAAGAUGAACUUUCAUGAAAUACUGCUGCUUGGGUGAUCUGUCUCUUUAGAGGCAGACCCAGCUGACCUUUCUGUUAACAUCACAUAUCACUACCUGGCAUGUGUCAGACAGAUAAUUUCUAUUCUGACCAAGAUCCUGCAGUAGAAACUAUGAGAGAUACAAGGAUCAAUGAAGAAGAAUUGCUGCCUUCAAGAUGCAGUGAGUGCAGAAAAAGAGAACUGAACACACACACACAAUCUCUUAUGGGAACAACCCAGUGUGCGGGUGCCCAUUGUGGACACAAAGCAACAGUGCUUUAGAAUCACGCUCCACAAUUUCAAUUUUUAAUGCCGAACCUGUAUCUAUUGCUAAUUAAAACCCUUUUGAGAGUGCAAGAAAUGCUUGGAUUAUUUGAGAUAAAGUUCAAGCGCACUAGCCUGUCCUACACAAGCUGUCUCUGUUUCAUUUUGUGGCCUACACUUUGUGCCUGCAGGGCGGGGUGCGUCUAGAAGCUCCAGGUGUUGCAGAGGGCCAGCUGUGAAGGCCAGGUGGGUGGCAGGGGAGGGGCAGGAAGGAGAGGUUGAGAGGGCUGAGGCAGGAGCCAGCAGCAGUACUGGGCAGGGAGGGGAAUGGUGGGAAAGCAGAGUGGCUAAGACGGAAGCUUUGGGGUUGGUCAGAGACACAGUCAAGGCCAGUAAGAAGGAGACAGAAAGGAUGUGGAGGGUGGUUGCUCGCCAGCCGUGGUGUGAGGCCAAGUAUGUAACAUGAACACUUUGCAGCUUUUUGGUCAAACUGCUUCUAGCUGCCUUCCUAUCAGCCCAAUGUGCAAGAGAAAGCAUACAAUUCCCCAGCCUGUGUAUCGCCAAAGUUCAGAUUGCUACAGUGCCUGAAACUUCUAACAAGUCAACACAUCUCUCCCCUUCUAAAGACACUCCAAUCUGUGGUACUAUGUCCUAAGUCACAUUUGAUAUCUUUGUAUGAGGUUUUGGUUUUACAUUUAGGCAAAGAGUUCCUUGGUUUUCAAAAUAUUUUAUUUGUUAUCACGCACCAAAUAGUUUAUUUUAGGAUCCUGGGAUCUUUC
rnacentral:lncRNA from 1 species